CCCAUCAUCUCAUUGCUAAUUAAUUGAGUGUCAAAAGAAAAUUAUAUAAAAAAGGUGAAGAUUAAAUUAAAUUGAAAGGGUUCUUACUUGUCUUCGAUCUUGAAUACUGGGUAAUACUGUGCGAUAUACAUGGCGACUUCCCAAGUAGUUGGAUUUAAGCAAAAAGAAGCCACGAAGACUGAGAAGUAAGAACUAGAAGAGAAGAAAAAAAAAAN
rnacentral:lncRNA from 1 species